rnacentral:rRNA from 1 species
GUGAGUGAUGAAGGUUUUCGGAUCGUAAAGCUCUGUUGUUAGGGAAGAACAAGUGCAAGAGUAACUGCUUGCACCUUGACGGUACCUAACCAGAAAGCCACGGCUAACUACGUGCCAGCAGCCGCGGUAAUACGUAGGUGGCAAGCGUUGUCCGGAAUUAUUGGGCGUAAAGGGCUCGCAGGCGGUUUCUUAAGUCUGAUGUGAAAGCCCCCGGCUCAACCGGGGAGGGUCAUUGGAAACUGGGAAACUUGAGUGCAGAAGAGGAGAGUGGAAUUCCACGUGUAGCGGUGAAAUGCGUAGAGAUGUGGAGGAACACCAGUGGCGAAGGCGACUCUCUGGUCUGUAACUGACGCUGAGGAGCGAAAGCGUGGGGAGCGAACAGGAUUAGAUACCCUGGUAGUCCACGCCGUAAACGAUGAGUGCUAAGUGUUAGGGGGUUUCCGCCCCUUAGUGCUGCAGCUAACGCAUUAAGCACUCCGCCUGGGGAGUACGGUCGCAAGACUGAAACUCAAAGGAAUUGACGGGGGCCCGCACAAGCGGUGGAGCAUGUGGUUUAAUUCGAAGCAACGCGAAGAACCUUACCAGGUCUUGACAUCCUCUGACAACCCUAGAGAUAGGGCUUUCCCUUCGGGGACAGAGUGACAGGUGGUGCAUGGUUGUCGUCAGCUCGUGUCGUGAGAUGUUGGGUUAAGUCCCGCAACGAGCGCAACCCUUGAUCUUAGUUGCCAGCAUUUAGUUGGGCACUCUAAGGUGACUGCCGGUGACAAACCGGAGGAAGGUGGGGAUGACGUCAAAUCAUCAUGCCCCUUAUGACCUGGCUACACACGUGCUACAAUGGACAGAACAAA